UCCUCGGGAGGGCGGGGCGGGGUCGGGCCACGCCCACGCAGGGCUGGAGAGGUGGCUCAGCAGGUAAGAGCACAGGCUGCUCUUGCGGAGGAUCCGGGCUCGAUUUCCAGCAGCCACAUGACAGCUCAAAGCCAUCUAUCUGUACCUCCCGUCCCAGGUGAUCCAGCACCCUCUUCCAGACACAGCAUGCACGUGACGCACAGACAUGCAGGCCAAGACUGCAUCGCAGCAUGACGUAGGUGCACAAGAAAUAUUUGCAGGGUGACUGGUUGACUGAAUCGGGUUAGAACUGUCAAGAAAAGUCCCUGCAGUGCGCGAGGAUGCCGCAAGAGGGUGCUGCAGGUCCACGGAGCAGCCCGCGGCGCGAGCAUCCUCGGGAGCCCAGGCCGGGGUGUCCUUCCCCAAGAAGUCCUCUGUGAGACACACACACACACACACACACACCCGCUCCCGGGGCUCGCAGCCUCGUGGGUCCCAGAGUCUUCACCCCUGCACACUCCGGGUCGUUAGGCAUCUGCCACAUGGAAACUGUAAAUACCCAGCGCAGGGCAACCUCCUUGGAGCCUGAGUGUGGAUUGAAGCCUGGACAUAAAUUCAAACUCACGUUGUAACCUUUCUGGUUAUUUCUAGGGCCCAGGACUGAAGAGGGCUCCACCCCAUCGUUCGUUUUGGUCUUUGGUCUUCGACACUAACAAUGGAUCUGCCACCAGCUCAUCCUGAAGCAGAUGCAGAUCCCAGCUGUGUCAUUUGCUGGCUCUCUCUCAAUCUCUCUCUCUCUCUCUCUCUCUCUCUCUCUCUCUCUCUCUCUCUCUCUCUCUCACACACACACACACACACACACAAUCUCUGGCCUCCGGUACCUGGUCUACAGAACCAGAUCCAGAGAGGGAACCUACUUUCUGGAACCUGUUGUAAGCAGUUCCUCCAGAGGUCUUUGGGUGGGGUGGGUGAGAAGCCUCAGUGGCUGAAGGAGCUUGCUGCCAAGCCUGACAGCCUGAGUUUGAUCCCUGGAACUCAUCUGGUAGAAGGAGAGACCUGAUUCCGUGAGUUGGGAUGGGUAGCUCUGUGUCCACAUCCUAAUCUCCUCACGUGACCGGUUUCCUUAUCUGCACACGCGCAGCCUCCGAGGAUUACAGGAGAUAAAGAUUAGGAGCAAACCACCAGGGAGGCACCGUGGUUAGGCUGGCCUCGGUCCCAGCAGGCUGCACACCCCAAGCGGGGCCUUUACCAAAUCCUCCGUGCAAAUUACUGCCGUCCACUCUCCACUGUGAGAGGAUGACGAGGCACAGAGAGGUCCAGUGCCUUCUCAAGAUCACACAGCCAAGGCCUCAAGACAUCCUUAAGCCACUCAGCUAUCCAUACCCCGAGGUAGGCUCCCCGGCCAGGCCCACGUGAAGAUGAAGAAACUGAGGCCCUGAGAGGCAGAAAUGUUUGCAGAGACCUCAAUUGAGAAGGCCGUUCAUGCCUCUAAUCCCAGCAACUGGGAUACCGAGAUAGGACAAGUGUCUAGGAGUUCCAAGCUAGCCUGGGCUACAUGGUUGUAAGACCUCAAAACUGCUAACGAACAAAAUACAGCCUGGUGGCUUCUGCCUGUGGUGGUAUCACUCUGGAAACCGAGGCAGGAAGGUCUCUGUGGGGUCCAGGACAGCCUGGGCCCCAACCUUCUCAAGACUUGGGGCUCCUGACCGAUCUCAGUUCCACCCACUAACUCUCACACCCUAGCAAGGGGGCAGCAGCGUGACACAGGCAGGGGGCAGACAUGACCAGUCCUGAAGGACUAGGGCUGAGGACACAGCCUGAUGACGCCGAGAGGCCAGGACGUCAUUUUCACUAAAACUCGACACCCUCUUGGCCGCCCUGUGCCCCUCUGAUCAGCAGCUCUACCCCUUCCUAGCUGUUUGCCCUUGGGCUGGUUGCUUGACCUCUCUGAGCCUCACCGGUGAGAGACUGAGUUACUGUGUAAGUACUCAGAGCAGUACUUAGCAUCAGCACCCACACUAGCCUUCCCCCCCCCCCCCACAGUUGACCUUCUUGCAGGAAGAGUUUAGCUUUGGCUCAUCCCAGGUCACAUGAUUAGCCCGUGACUGCAAGUCAUUCUGGGAGACUGAGUCCCCCAUAUCCUAGGCAUGCAUCUCAAAAGACAAGUGACACAGAACCACAGGACCCCCCCACCCCCACCCAAGGCGUAGAAAAUCUACAUGUAGCCGAAAAAGAACGCCAAGGGGCUGGCAAGGUGGCUCGGCGGUAAAGGCGCUUGCUUGCAGCCAAGCCUGACAGCCUGAGUUCAAUUCCUGGAAUCCACAGAACAGAAGGAAGGAGCGGACUCCCAGGAAUUGUCCUCCGACUUCCACGGGGUCUCUCCCCCUCACCCAUGAGGGGUCUCAGGGGCCUGGAGUGCAUGACGUGGCUGCAGCCCGCCUCUCCCUGCCUAUAACCUUCAGUGGCUCCCAUCAGAUGCGAAUAGAUACAGCAGAAACUAUCCCCAGGGGUCCCUUUCCCAGCGGUGUCUGUUCCCGUCUACCCUCAAGGCUCCUGCCUCAGGACCUUGGCACCUGCUCUUCCCUCAGCUCCCUCCCUGCACCGCUGGCUCUCUCCACAUCAGAUGUCACAUCCCCUCCUCAGAGGCCUGCCUUGAUUUACCCUGUCUGAAAUAGUGCUGUGAUCUGCCACCCUUCAAAGGCCUAUGACCUGUCUGUACCGGCCAGGAGGGGUCAGGGAACACCCUUUGUUUUCCCAGCAAGUAUUCAAUAAACUUACGUUUUUGU